GAUGAACGCUGGCGGCGCGCCUAACACAUGCAAGUCGAACGGUUAAAGCACCUUUUAGGUGUGUAUAAAGUGGCGAACGGCUGAGUAACACGUGGGCAACCUGCCCUCCUCUUGGGGAUAGCCUCGGGAAACCGAGGAUAAUACCCGAUACUUCAAUGUGGCCGCAUGACGACAUUGAGAAAGCUUUUGCGGAGAAGGAUGGGCCCGCGGCCUGUUAGCUUGUUGGUGGGGUAGAGGCCUACCAAGGCAAUGAUGGGUAGCUGGGUUGAGAGACCGACCAGCCAGAUUGGGACUGAGACACGGCCCAGACUCCUACGGGAGGCAGCAGUGGGGAAUCUUGCACAAUGGGCGAAAGCCUGAUGCAGCGACGCCGCGUGCGGGACGAAGGCCUUCGGGUUGUAAACCGCUUUCAGCAGGGACGAGGCGAAAGUGACGGUACCUGCAGAAGAAGCCCCGGCUAACUACGUGCCAGCAGCCGCGGUAAUACGUAGGGGGCAAGCGUUAUCCGGAUUCAUUGGGCGUAAAGCGCUCGUAGGCGGUCUGUUAGGUCGGGAGUUAAAUCCGGAGGCUCAACCUCCGUUCGCUCCCGAUACCGGCAGACUUGAGUUUGGUAGGGGAAGGUGGAAUUCCUAGUGUAGCGGUGGAAUGCGCAGAUAUUAGGAAGAACACCAGUGGCGAAGGCGGCCUUCUGGGCCAUAACUGACGCUGAGGAGCGAAAGCUAGGGGAGCAAACAGG
rnacentral:rRNA from 1 species